AGUGAACGCUGGCGGUAGGCCUAACACAUGCAAGUCGAACGGCAGCACAGUAAGAGCUUGCUCUUACUGGUGGCGAGUGGCGGACGGGUGAGGAAUACAUCGGAAUCUACUUUUUCGUGGGUGAUAACGUAGGGAAACUUACGCUAAUACCGCAUACGACCUACGGGUGAAAGCAGGGGAUCCUCGGACCUUGCGCGAUUGAAUGAGCCGAUGUCGGAUUAGCUAGUUGGCGGGGUAAAGGCCCACCAAGGCGACGAUCCGUAGCUGGUCUGAGAGGAUGAUCAGCCACACUGGAACUGAGACACGGUCCAGACUCCUACGGGAGGCAGCAGUGGGGAAUAUUGGACAAUGGGCGAAAGCCUGAUCCAGCCAUACCGCGUGGGUGAAGAAGGCCUUCGGGUUGUAAAGCCCUUUUGUUGGGAAAGAAAAGCAGCAGGUUAAUACCCCGCUGUUCUGACGGUACCCAAAGAAUAAGCACCGGCUAACUUCGUG
rnacentral:rRNA from 1 species